GUCAUUUCGAAGCAGUAUGAUCAAAUAGACAACAUAAUAGAUUUAUGAUAUUCAAAUAAGUAGAUGAUAUGAAAUUAUGCUACAAAUCUGAAUUUUUGACUUUAAUAUCGACUUUCAAUGGAGGUAGAAUUAAAUAAUAUAAAAUAAUAUGAGGAGAAAGUUGGAGGAAAUGAUUGGAAUAAGAUUUGAUGAUGUUGGUUGGAAUUUUUAAAACUGUGUUUCGGAUUGUACCACUUGAAAGUAAUGCAUAAUUAAGAGACUUUAAUCGAAAAUUUUAAAAGACUUGUAAUUUUAAAAAAUCUAUUUCACAUACACACACAAGAUAAAUAUAAUAUAUUUUUAAAAAAUUUAUAUCAAAAAAGUCUGUACUUUCAAAAAAGUUUCAAGCAUAAAUCUGAAAUACACAUAUAAGAUGGAAUCUAAUAUUAUUACUAUAAUUAUUUUUCUUAAUUAACAGAUCAAAAUUUUGUAUUAUCAAAGAUGAUAUGAUUUCGAGUGACUUUAAGUAAUAUUUAAGUAACAUCUAAGUAAUAUGUUUUAUAUUAAUUUAAAAAUUAAAUUUGUUAAAGUUUAUAAGAUUAUAAAAUUUGUUAAAUUUAAUUUUUUAUUUACAAUUAAAUAUUAUAAAUUUAUUUCGGUAUUUGUUAAUUGAUAAUUAAAAAAAAAAAUAAAAAACGAAAAAAAUCAAAUUACUAUAAGAAUCUUUCGAAAUUAUAUUAUCAGUAAAAAAAAAUUUUAUUAAUCUAAUAAAUAUUAGUAAAGUAAUUGAAAUAAUUAUAAUAUGUACCAUUUAGGAUAGUUGGGAACUAUAUAAUUCACCUUAUAUGUUAUAGAUAUUUUGUCAUUUUAAACUAAUUUAUGAAGUUUCACAUGGAUCCAAAGCUCGAUGCGAGAUCACAGAAUUCGCGACUUCAUUUCCCGACUGCGAGCCGUCUCGAAAGGAGGUCGUGUAGGGUUCACUGAAGACCCUGACUGUUCCAGAGCUCGAGUAUUAAAUAUUGCAGGCGCGGCAAACGAAAGCUACAACUUGACCGCUGCAUUCCGGGAGUUCUUUAGAAUCGCGCGAAUUCACCAGUGCACUCGCGUCAUUUUACACGGACGUUUAAUUUCCCCUUCACGAUCCAUGAUUAUUUUUUAACCCUCUGUAAUGUCGU